rnacentral:lncRNA from 1 species
GGCUUUCUUGGUGUGUCAACGUGUGUCGUUGUGAGGAACCGGUUAUCUGUGUGUGGUGCUUAUGUAUCCCCGCCAAGACUCCCUUCUCUUGGGUCAGCUCAGUCCACGGAGGCAAUUCCCCUUCAACUGUUGCCAGAAAAACGGCGAGGACAGGAAAGAACCGAAAGUCAGCGUCCAGCAGUAGUCUGCUCACUCAGUUGAUCUCUGGCAGGCUGCGCUGAUGAAUCCCCAUGGGAGUUGGAGCCAGAUGGACGCUGCAGGCUGCCUCUGAGCCUGAUUUGGACAUCCUAGUCUAGCCCUUGCCUGGGGCCCAGCAAUAAGGACCCAAGGAGCCUUAGCAGAGUUCCGGGGACAGAAGAGGCCUUCCGUAACCCGAGCCAGAGGUGGGUUAGCACAAACUGCUCAUCUCCUCAGCUUGGGAAAGGUGGCUGACUAGCUGGGCUCACUCUGGAGGACCUAAGGCACUGGAUCGGAGCUAGAAGGAAACACUGGCCAGAGGCUAAGAAGGUGGUGCCACUGCUGCAGUUGGCGGCCUCCAGUGAAAGAUUUCGUAGGACCGGGACUUUCAGAGGUUCCCAGGAAGUCCUGCCUGAAGUCCAAGUUCCAGAUCAGAGAAGUCAGCAUUCUCCUUUUCUCCCCUUUUACAUCUCAAGCAAGCAUUAAAGAAGCAAGAUGAGGGGGGGGGGUGCCCAGCGACUGUCCCAAUUGGAGGCGGCGAAUAUCAUUUUUACAACCUCUCAAUUAGCAACCCAGUGGAUUAGCACCCUCUUAAGCUUUGCCUAAGAAAGAGGCAGCCAUAAUCUUGUUGCUAUUUCCCCCCAGGGCACUGGCUCUUUCAAUCAGCCCCUUCUCCCACCCACAACCCCCAUCUCACCUCAGAGAAAAGUUUUAACAAAAAAAUCAGAAGAAGCUAGGAGCCUGGCAUGAAUGCCGCUGACGUCAUUGGGUGGGGAUGGGGGCUUCGGGUGGGACUGUUGGAAACUGCACAAACAAGAAACAGAAAGGACUUGGCUGCUCUAGUGUGUCAAUAUUUGGGGAGGGGAGCUGAGGAACAGAAAGAGGCAAAGUUUCUAAAGUUUAAGGAAAGGGAUGAGAGCCAGGAUCUCUCUCUCUCUCUCUCUCUCUCUCUCUCUCUCUCUCUCUCUCUCCUCUCUCUCUCUCCCUCCCUCCCUUCCUACUCUCUCUCUCUCUCUCUCUCUCUCUCUCUCUCUCUCUCUCUCUCUCUCUGCCUGUCCUUGGUGAAUCAUCUUUUCUGCCAAGCACCUGCUGUCGGGAAGAGACCUGGAAGGAGGGAGGCUAAAACCAAGGUGCAAGGCACUAGUAAAACGGAGACAACGCUCGGGUCGCCAUUUUAACUGAGGCUUUCAACCCGUCGGAGGCCCAUUUCGCUUGUCCUCCAGUGUUAGUGUUAGAAUAGAAAGGCUGGCGAAGCUGCAUUUUAGGCGCCCCCCCCCCGACCCCCGCUGCCUUUCACUACUACUCUGCUACUCUUUCCUCCGUUCUACCCUCUGACCCGUGCGAGGACGGGUUUUCCUCUGGCCGGGUAACUGAAAGCUCGUGGUGUAGAGUGGCGCUGGGGGCAUCGAGGUUUGCCCGACGGUGUUCAGAACCUCUCUAACCAUCAUGGAUGCGAAAGUAGGAGGCCCCUUCAGAAUCACUCCCAACAGUCCCUGGUAGCCUGUACCCACCGCAUUUAGUCUCUGUCCCGAGAGCGGCCCCUGGCGAGGCAAAGAAGUGCCCAGUUCUCUGGGGAAAUGUGCUUUGGCCUCACAGCCUCAGAACAACCAGUACUCCAUUCCGUGUUCCCACACCUCCAAACUCCCAUUUUGACUGGUCCUAGCUGAGGCGCGGUUGCAGACACACUGAGGAGGGCAAGGAUGAAUUUCUUUGGAGGAGGAAGGUCUCAGUAAACACCCGAGACACUUUAGAGAGCUCCAAGUGUGUCUCUUUCUGCAGGCCCUGAAGAGUGGAUUCCAGGGAUCUCUGGGAUGGCAAACAAAUCAAAAGGUCAUAAAAAUCAAAGUCUUCCACCCUAGCCACCCAGUUCCUGAUGCCUCCCUGGCUUGGGGCUUUCUCUCUCCGCUUACCCCAGCAACCUGCCUGAAUCCUGCUCACCGGCUAGCCUAGCCAAAGCCCAGGACAGUACAGAAACAGAAGAGAGCCGAACGACCGCCCAGCGGCGCCUCCAGGCUUUAGCUUGACUGGAAAAAGCCAUGGUGCCCUUUCCUUUCCUUUCUUCUUGCCAAAUGGUUAGUGUAUCUGGGCGCUCGCGGGUCCAAUCCUCUUCUCUUCAUAUUGGUCAGCACCUCUCCCCCUCCAUUUCCCUCCCAGCCCACCCCUAAAAUGCUUAAAUCCCGGCAUUGUCCGGAUGGGUGUCCCAGCAAAGAGCUUUCUUGUAGGAGGCUAGUUAACUCUCAAGCUUCCUUUCUUCCACAUCCUACAGUUGUCUAUAUGGAAAGUAGAUUCAAAGUCUCUAACGCAUAGGACACCCUGAAAUCCCAUCGUUUUGGGAUUUUUACAGAUAGGGUGUCUAGAAAAGUUCUCUUUCCAUUCUCCAACCCCGGGACAUUCCUUCAAGUCUCCUUUUCUUCUAACCUCAGUACUAAAGAGGUAAGUGUUCAGCUUCAAAUGAAAAGCUUGCUAAGGUCACCGCUCUAUAGAAUAUGUCUGAACAGCUGCCUGGUAGAAGGGCCAGGGACUGACUCCUGCCAUUUGUUUUGUUCAGGAGCUAGAAACGUGCAGGCCUGAUGCUCAGGAUUUUGAGACUGGGAAAGAGAGAGCAAAUGUCAGGGCUGGCUCACUCCAGCAGCCUGGAACCGAACUAAGCACAUCCUGACAGGCUUUUAAAAUGACAUUGAUUGAGACAAGCUGUUCCCAACCCCAGUAAGAGUUAAUCUGCCUGUUAAUCAAGGCACUAAGGGGCUCAAUGCGAGUUUUAUUAGUGACUGGAGAGCAGAGGCAGCAGUAGCAAGGGAUCAAAAGCUGAAAUCCCAGAUACUUUGUCAGUGCACACUCCUCC